AUGGCGACUCUCGACUCACCACCAUGGAUCUUGCUGUGCACUCUCGCGGCCCUGCUGGCUGCCCUGUGGUGCGCGGGACGGGCGCUAGCCGGCGCUUGGCUCCUCCGCCCGCGGAGGGUUGCUCGGGCCCUGCGGUCUCAGGGCGUCCGCGGCAUGCCUUACCGCUUCCCCUCCGGCGACGUUCAUGACUAUGUGCGGCUCGUCGCGGCGGCGUGCUCCCAGCCCAUGCCGCUGUCCUCGCACGCCGUUGCCGCCCGAGUGGCGCCGUUCGACCACGGCGUCAUCAAGGAACACGGCAUAUACUUGACGUAA
rnacentral:rRNA from 1 species